CCUACGGGUGGCAGCAGUGGGGAAUAUUGCACAAUGGGGGAAACCCUGAUGCAGCGACGCCGCGUGAGUGAAGAAGUAUUUCGGUAUGUAAAGCUCUAUCAGCAGGGAAGAAAUAGCGACCUUUGGUUCGCCAGACGGUACCUGACUAAGAAGCCCCGGCUAACUACGUGCCAGCAGCCGCGGUAAUACGUAGGGGGCAAGCGGUAUCCGGAUUUACUGGGUGUAAAGGGAGCGUAGACGGCAGGACAAGUCUGAAGUGAAAUGGCGGGGCUUAACCCCGGAACUGCUUUGGAAACUGUGCAGCUAGAGUGCAGGAGAGGUAAGUGGAAUUCCUAGUGUAGCGGUGAAAUGCGUAGAUAUUAGGAGGAACGCCAGUGGCGAAGGCGGCUUACUGGACUGUAACUGACGUUGAGGCUCGAAAGCGUGGGGAGCAAACAGGAUUAGAUACCCCUGUAGUC
rnacentral:rRNA from 1 species